rnacentral:lncRNA from 1 species
AAUGUUACAAAAUCAAGGAGGUUUCGGUGGAAACACUCAUGAUAAUCCGAAAAAUGAGACUUGCAAUGGAAUCACUUUGAGGAGUAGAGAGAUACCGGAAAGGCCAGCUGUGGAGAAGCCCUUGAAAAAGAAGGUCAAUGAGGGGGAGGUUGAAAAUAAGCACGAGGUUGUAGUUGAAAAUGAGAGACAUGAGGGAGAAGUAGAAAAUGAAAAUAUGUCUAAGGAAGUGGAGAUUAGUGAGGAUGAGAAAGGAGAAGUUGAAAAACAGAGGGAGAUAAAAGAAAAAGAAAGUAAGAAGGUUGAGAAAGGUAAGGGAAUUGAUGAAUCACC